GACGAACGCUGGCGGCGUGCUUAACACAUGCAAGUCGAGCGGUAAGGCCCUUUCGGGGGUACACGAGCGGCGAACGGGUGAGUAACACGUGGGUGACCUGCCUCUAGCUCUGGGAUAAGCCCGGGAAACUGGGUCUAAUACUGGAUAUGACUCCAUGACGCAUGUUGUGGGGUGGAAAGCCUUGUGCGGCUAGAGAUGGGCCCGCGGCCUAUCAGCUUGUUGGUGGGGUGAGGCCUACCAAGGCGACGACGGUAGCCGGCCUGAGAGGGCGACCGGCCACACUGGGACUGAGACACGGCCCAGACUCCUACGGGAGGCAGCAGUGGGGAAUCUUGCGCAAUGGGCGAAAGCCUGA
rnacentral:rRNA from 1 species